CGCACAUAUUUGGAGUAAGGUGCCUUGCCGCUGGAGGCAGCAACGCAAUGCGCAGCGCACUAUGUUGUGAAUGAGGGAUGGGAUGACGUCAGUGCGCGAAUGUCAACAAUGUAGCGAUUGAGAGUAGGCGUUUCAUUCGAGUGUAACAAACAGAGGAGACGGAGCCGCACGCUGUAGAGAUCAUCAUCACACAUUUACAAACAUACACACAUUUUUAUAAACACUUUUACAACCAUAAACGUGCUUUAUCCCUCCUAAAGAAAAAGAAAUAUUGAAAGAGUGCACCGCAAAACGUGAUCUCCCUGCAGCCCGGGGGCUUUAGGAGUCUGCAAGGAAGUCAUCAUGUGAAAAAUAUAUUUAUAUUUGCUAAACGGACAAAAGGGCUGGAUCACAAGGAAAAAAAGCUAGGCUGAAGGAAAGGAAGUAUGGCUGAGGUUUACAGUCAAUGAAGUCCGAGGGGCGUGUGUUAGCGUGACAGAGGUGGAGCUUACUCCACACAGAGAGACGUUUCUCUGUUAGGAGGCCUGUGCUGUCGACCCUGAAAACCCAGCCGAAAACUGUUGCUGGCGCUGGACCACAACAUGCAUCUCAGCGCAUGCUAACACUCGGAGCUGUCAUUGUCACCUCCCGUCAGAGCAGUCAAACAAUGGAACAGACCACUGGUGUGAGCGGUAUGUCCGUGGAUGAGAAGUCUGAAGCUCCCAUGUACGUGUAUGAGUCGACGGUGCACUGUACCAACAUCCUGCUGGGUCUGAAUGAGCAGCGGAAGCAGGGCCUGCUCUGUGAUGUGACCGUGCUGGUGGAGGGGAAGGAGUUCCGCGCACACAGGGCUGUCCUAGCAGCCUGCAGCGAGUACUUCCUACAGGGGUUCGUCACCCAAAGUGACAAUGAACUGGUUCUCAGCAUGCCAGAGGAGGUAUGGAUAAACACACUAUUAUCAUUAUUAUCAUGCACAUUAAUGCUCUAGUAAAUUACUGAGAGGUUGCCAGGUCACUGGUGGAUACACCACCAUUCAAAAGUU